GUAGGUGAACCUGCGGAAGGAUCAUUACUGAGGGCGUGUGGGUUUUAAUAACUCCGCGAACCCCCCAACCCUUUGUCUAUCAUCCUAUUAUAGUUUGUUUGGGGCACGGUUUUGUGGGCUUUUUAAGUCUAAGAAGACUCCAAGCCAAAUCUCACGGCUCCAAAAGAAAAAACUACUCAAGUUUAAAACUCAAAUAUUUAUGUUCGUCUGAAAUUAAAUAAAACAAGCAAAACUUUCAACAACGGAUCUCUUGGUUCCG
rnacentral:misc_RNA from 1 species